rfam:Homo sapiens chromosome 7, GRCh38 reference primary assembly.
GCUGGGCGUGGUGGUGCACGCCUGUAGUCCCAGCUACUUGGGAGGCUGAGACAGGAGAAUUGCUUGAACCCUGGAGGUGGAGUUGCAGUGAGCCACGAUUGGGCCACUGCAUCGCAGCCUGGGCGACAGAGCAAGACUCUGUCUCAA